AGAGUUUGAUCAUGGCUCAGGAUGAACGCUAGCGGCAGGCCUAAUACAUGCAAGCCGAACGGUAAGUUUGAUAGCAAUAUUGAACCUAGAGUGGCGUAAGGGUGCGUAACACGUAUGCAAUCUACCCGCAACAGGAGGAUAGCUCCCCGAAAGGGGAAUUAACCCUCCAUGAGAUCACACGAGGGCAUCUGAGAGUGAUUAAAUCUGAGGAGGUUGUGGAUGAGCAUGCGACUGAUUAGCUAGUUGGUAGUGUAACGGACUACCAAGGCGAUGAUCAGUAGGGGAACUGAGAGGUUGAUCCCCCACACUGGCACUGAGAUACGGGCCAGACUCCUACGGGAGGCAGCAGUAGGGAAUAUUGGUCAAUGGGUGAGAGCCUGAACCAGCCAUGCCGCGUGCAGGAAGAAGGCCUUCUGGGUUGUAAACUGCUUUUGCCGGGGGAUAAAAGAGCUUUGCGAAGCGAAUUGAAGGUACCUGGUGAAUAAGCCACGGCUAACUACGUGCCAGCAGCCGCGGUAAUACGUAGGUGGCAAGCGUUGUCCGGAUUUAUUGGGUUUAAAGGGUGCGUAGGCGGUUGAUUAAGUCAGUUGUGAAAUACGGCAGCUUAACUGUCGAGGUGCAAUUGAUACUGGUUGACUUGAGUACAGACGAGGUAGGCGGAAUUGACGGUGUAGCGGUGAAAUGCAUAGAUAUCGUCAAGAACACCGAUAGCGAAGGCAGCUUACUAGACUGUAACUGACGCUGAGGCACGAAAGUGUGGGGAUCAAACAGGAUUAGAUACCCUAGUAGUCC
rnacentral:rRNA from 1 species